rnacentral:rRNA from 1 species
GACGAACCGUGCGACCGUUAUUCGGAAUCACUGGGCUUAAAGCGCGUGUAGGCGGCCCGGCACGUCCGUCGCUGAAAUCCCCCGGCUCAACCGGGGAAGUGGCGUGGAUACGGCCGGGCUGGAGGGGGGUAGGGGGAGCCGGAACUUCCGGUGGAGCGGUGAAAUGCGUUGAGAUCGGAAGGAACGCCCGUGGCGAAAGCGGGCUCCUGGACCCCACCUGACGCUGAGACGCGAAAGCCAGGGGAGCGAACGGG